rnacentral:rRNA from 1 species
UACGGAGGGUGCAAGCGUUAUCCGGAUUCACUGGGUUUAAAGGGUGCGUAGGUGGGUUGGUAAGUCAGUGGUGAAAUCUCCGAGCUUAACUUGGAAACUGCCAUUGAUACUAUCAGUCUUGAAUAUUGUGGAGGUCAGCGGAAUAUGUCAUGUAGCGGUGAAAUGCUUAGAUAUGACAUAGAACACCGAUAGCGAAGGCAGCUUGCUACACAAUUAUUGACACUGAGGCUCGAAAGCGUGGGGAUCAAACAGG